rnacentral:rRNA from 1 species
UGGCGGGACGGGUGAGUAAUGUCGGGGAAACUGCCGAUGGAGGGGGGUAACUACUGGAAACGGUAGCUAAUACCGCAUAACGUCGCAAGACCAAAGAGGGGGACCUUAGGGCCUCUUGCCAUCGGAUGUGCCCAGAUGGGAUUAGCUAGUAGGUGGGGUAAUGGCUCACCUAGGCGACGAUCCCUAGCUGGUCUGAGAGGAUGACCAGCCACACUGGAACUGAGACACGGUCCAG